rnacentral:rRNA from 1 species
AUUGAACGCUGGCGGCAGGCCUAACACAUGCAAGUCGAACGAGUGGCGGACGGGUGAGUAAUGUCUGGGAAACUGCCUGAUGGAGGGGGAUAACUACUGGAAACGGUAGCUAAUACCGCAUACCAUCGGAUGUGCCCAGAUGGGAUUAGCUUGUUGGUGGGGUAACGGAUCACCAAGGCGACGAUCCCUAGCUGGUCUGAGAGGAUGACCAGCCACACUGGAACUGAGACACGGUCCAGACGGAUACGGGAGGCAGCAGUGGGGAAUAUUGAACAAUGGGCGCAAGCCUGAUGCAGCCAUGCCGAGUGUAUGAAGAAGGCAUUCGGGUUGUAAAGUACUUUCAGCGGGGAGGCGUUACUCGCAGAAGAAGCACCGGCUAAAUCCGUGCCAGCAGCCGCGGUAAUUC